rnacentral:rRNA from 1 species
UACAGGGGGGGCAAGCGUUGUUCGGAAUUACUGGGCGUAAAGGGCUCGUAGGCGGCCAACUAAGUCAGACGUGAAAUCCCUCAGCUUAACUGGGGAACUGCGUCUGAUACUGGAUGGCUUGAGUUUGGGAGAGGGGUGCGGAAUUCCAGGUGUAGCGGUGAAAUGCGUAGAUAUCUGGAGGAACACCGGUGGCGAAGGCGGCAUCCUGGACCAACACUGACACUGAGGAGCGAAAGCCAGGGGAGCAAACGGG